CCUUUAGAGUUUGGGUUUCUGCUCAGGACGAACGCUGGCGGCGUGCCUAAUACAUGCAAGUCGAGCGAAUGAUGAGGAAGCUUGCUUCCUCUGAUUUAGCGGCGGACGGGUGAGUAACACGUGGGCAACCUACCUUAUAGUUUGGGAUAACUCCGGGAAACCGGGGCUAAUACCAAAUAAUCUCUUUUACUUCAUGGUGAAAGACUAAAAGACGGUUUCGGCUGUCGCUAUAGGAUGGGCCCGCGGCGCAUUAGCUAGUUGGUGAGGUAACGGCUCACCAAGGCAACGAUGCGUAGCCGACCUGAGAGGGUGAUCGGCCACACUGGGACUGAGACACGGCCCAGACUCCUACGGGAGGCAGCAGUAGGGAAUCUUCCACAAUGGGCGAAAGCCUGAUGGAGCAACGCCGCGUGAGUGAAGAAGGAUUUCGGUUCGUAAAACUCUGUUGUAAGGGAAGAACAAGUACAGUAGUAACUGGCUGUACCUUGACGGUACCUUAUUAGAAAGCCACGGCUAACUACGUGCCAGCAGCCGCGGUAAUACGUAGGUGGCAAGCGUUGUCCGGAAUUAUUGGGCGUAAAGCGCGCGCAGGUGGUUUCUUAAGUCUGAUGUGAAAGCCCACGGCUCAACCGUGGAGGGUCAUUGGAAACUGGGAGACUUGAGUGCAGAAGAGGAUAGUGGAAUUCCAAGUGUAGCGGUGAAAUGCGUAGAGAUUUGGAGGAACACCAGUGGCGAAGGCGACUAUCUGGUCUGUAACUGACACUGAGCGCGAAAGCUACGCG
rnacentral:rRNA from 1 species